UCUGAUAUCCUGAUGAGUGUACAUCUUCAUCUGAUCUCCCGAUGCUGCUACAUUAGUUUUUUGUUGUGGAUUUAGAUAUCUGGUGUCUCUAAUUAGGAGCUGUUGGAUAUCAUCCAAUAAUCUUGCACAGCGAGAUCGAAGCUAUUUAGUAAACUGAAACUGUCGCUGCAACAAUUCUUCUUGUGAUCGUUGCUCCUUGCCAAUUCAUCGAUCUGAGUUUAUCGACGUCGCCCAGAUCGACUCCAUUGCCUCUCACCAUCUCCAAAAUUUGUGGCCGAGCGCUCGC